GGUUGAUCCUGCCAGUAGUCAUAUGCUUGUCCUAAAGAUUAAGCCAUGCAUGUCCAAGUAUAAGCGAUUGUACGGUGAAACUGCGAAAGGCUCAUUAAAUCAGUGAUAGUUUACAUGAUGAAGACGAUUACAUGGAUAACCGUGGUAAUUCUAGAGCUAAUACAUGCGCUGGGGGGUGGCGAGAGCGGCCUCUGCAUUUAUUAGAUAAAACCGACGCAGAGGGUGUAAAAACCAGCUGAACUGGCGAGUCAUGAUAACUGAGCGGAUCGUAUGGCCUCGAGCUGACGACGCA
rnacentral:rRNA from 1 species